CCUACGGGAGGCAGCAGUGGGGAAUUUUGGACAAUGGGCGCAAGCCUGAUCCAGCUAUUCCGCGUGUGGGAAGACGGCCUUCGGGUUGUAAACCACUUUUGUAGAGAACGAAAAGUCUGUUGAUAAUACCGAUAGAUGAUGACGGAACUCUAAGAAUAAGCACCGGCUAACUACGGGCCAGCAGCCGCGGUAAUACGUAGGGUGCGAGCGUUAAUCGGAAUUACUGGGCGGAAGGGGUGUGCAGGCGGGUUUGCAAGCUGGAUGUGAAAGCCCCGGGCUUAACCUGGGAAAGCCAUACAUGACUGCAAGACUAGAGUGCGUCAGAGGGGGGUGGAAUUCCAAGUGUAGCAGUGAAAUGCGUAGAUAUUUGGAAGAACACCGAUGGCGAAGGCAGCCCCCUGGGACGCAACUGACGCUCAUACACGAAAGCGUGGGGAGCAAACAGGAUUAGAUACCCGGGUAGUC
rnacentral:rRNA from 1 species